AGGAGAGGUACCCAAGUUCUUGAGCUUGAAAUCCACAUAUCUUUGACAAAUAAAACCCACUAACUAUAAGAUGAUGAAAAUAAGUUUCCUACCCAGAGAGUGCCAGGUUGUGACUGCCAGGGCCUGGCCAGAGAGGUGGCACAGGGGGUGCCCCCUCAAAUGUCCUUGGCACCAGCACUCGAGGCAUGUGGCAGGCCCGAAAUUCCUGCCUCACUUGCCCAGGCCGUCUACCCAGGACCGAGGGAGCCACAUCCCACCUUAUUCUGUGGAAGCCAAAGCCAGAGCCUUGGGCAUCCUGGCACCUCCUGUAUCCCUUACAGUAUUGGCCAAUGUCCUGGGUCCCGAAUUCCAGUGGAUGGAUUGACUUACCCAAUGGACCAGCGGCCCAUACCAAGAAACCUACUCAGCUGGAAUUGUGACCCCAGGGACUGAAACAACACAAGAAGUUGAUUUCUACACCCCUAUAAUUUUGCCCUAAUUGACAAACCCAAUUGUCUAAUCCCUUGCCUGUCAAACUACCCUUAAAAAAACCCCGUCUCCCAAGUUCUUGGGGAGAUGGAUUUGAGAAAUUUCUCCCCUCAUUCCACUUAGUGCUAUGUGGAAUAAAGACUCUCUGCUGUAAUU